rnacentral:Y_RNA from 1 species
GGCUGGCCUGAGUGUAGUGGGGUUUACACCUAAUUGAUCCCAACCAGUUACAGAUUUCUUUGUUCCUUCUCCACUCCCAUUGCUUCACUUGACUAGCCUAAA